rnacentral:rRNA from 1 species
GAUGAACGCUGGCGGCGUGCCUAACACAUGCAAGUCGAGCGAAGCACUUUGCUUAGAUUCUUCGGAUGAAGAGGAUUGUGACUGAGCGGCGGACGGGUGAGUAACGCGUGGGUAACCUGCCUCAUACAGGGGGAUAACAGUUAGAAAUGACUGCUAAUACCGCAUAAGACCACAGCACCGCAUGGUGCGGGGGUAAAAACUCCGGUGGUAUGAGAUGGACCCGCGUCUGAUUAGCUAGUUGGUAAGGUAACGGCUUACCAAGGCGACGAUCAGUAGCCGACCUGAGAGGGUGACCGGCCACAUUGGGACUGAGACACGGCCCAAGCUCCUACGGGAGGCAGCAGUGGGGAAUAUUGCACAAUGGGGGAAACCCUGAUGCAGCGACGCCGCGUGAGCGAAGAAGUAUUUCGGUAUGUAAAGCUCUAUCAGCAGGGAAGAAAAUGACGGUACCUGACUAAGAAGC